UACGUAGGGGGCAAGCGUUGUUCGGAAUUACUGGGCGUAAAGCGCACGUAGGCGGCUUUGUAAGUUAGAGGUGAAAGCCCGGGGCUCAACUCCGGAAUUGCCUUUAAGACUGCAUCGCUAGAAUUGUGGAGAGGUAAGUGGAAUUCCGAGUGUAGAGGUGAAAUUCGUAGAUAUUCGGAAGAACACCAGUGGCGAAGGCGACUUACUGGACACAUACUGACGCUGAGGUGCGAAAGCGUGGGGAGCAAACAGG
rnacentral:rRNA from 1 species